rnacentral:rRNA from 1 species
UGGGGAAUAUUGGACAAUGGGGGAAACCCUGAUCCAGCAAUGCCGCGUGAAUGAUGAAGGCCUUCGGGUUGUAAAGUUCUUUUACCUGAGAAGAUAAUGACGGUAUCAGGGGAAAAAGCACCGGCUAACUUCGUGCCAGCAGCCGCGGUAAUACGAAGGGUGCAAGCGUUGUUCGGAAUGACUGGGCGUAAAGGGCGCGUAGGCGGCGAUGUACGUUUGAUGUGAAAGUCCUGGGCUUAACCUGGGGACGGCAUUGAAUACGGCAUUGCUAGAGAGCGAGAGAGGGAGACGGAAUAGUGCGUGUAGAGGUGAAAUUCGUAGAUAUGCACUAGAACACCGGAGGCGAAGGCGGUUUCCUGGCUCGCAACUGACGCUAAGGCGCGAAAGCGUGGGGAGCAAACAGG